UACGUAGGGUGCAAGCGUUGUCCGGAAUUAUUGGGCGUAAAGAGCGUGUAGGCGGCCCGAUUAGUCCGCUGUGAAAGUCCAGGGCUCAACCCUGGAAUGCCGGUGGAUACUGUAGAGCUAGAGUCCGGAAGAGGCGAGUGGAAUUCCUGGUGUAGCGGUGGAAUGCGCAGAUAUCAGGAGGAACACCAAUAGCGAAGGCAGCUCGCUGGGACGUGACUGACACUAAGGCGCGAAAGCGUGGGGAGCGAACAGG
rnacentral:rRNA from 1 species